rnacentral:rRNA from 2 species
UGGGGAAUAUUGGGCAAUGGACGAAAGUCUGACCCAGCAACGCCGCGUGAAGGAAGAAGGCUUUCGGGUUGUAAACUUCUUUUAAGGGGGAAGAGCAGAAGACGGUACCCCUUGAAUAAGCCACGGCUAACUACGUGCCAGCAGCCGCGGUAAUACGUAGGUGGCAAGCGUUGUCCGGAUUUACUGGGUGUAAAGGGCGUGCAGCCGGGAAGGCAAGUCAGAUGUGAAAUCUGGAGGCUCAACCUCCAAACUGCAUUUGAAACUGCUUUUCUUGAGUAUCGGAGAGGUAAUCGGAAUUCCUUGUGUAGCGGUGAAAUGCGUAGAUAUAAGGAAGAACACCAGUGGCGAAGGCGGAUUACUGGACGACAACUGACGGUGAGGCGCGAAAGCGUGGGGAGCAAACAGG